CAGUCGCCGCGGUAAAACGAAGGGUGCAAGCGUUAAUCGGAAUUACUGGGCGUAAAGCGUGCGUAGGCGGUGAGUUAAGUCUGCUGUGAAAUCCCCGGGCUCAACCUGGGAACUGCAUCUGUGACUGCAUAGCUAGAGUACGGUAGAGGGGGAUGGAAUUCCGCGUGUAGCAGUGAAAUGCGUAGAGAUCGGGAGGAACAUCAGUGGCGAAGGCGGCCAUCUGGGACAACACUGACGCUGAGGCACGAAAGCGUGGGGAGCAAACAGGAUUAGAUACCCCCGUAGUCCCUGUCUCUUAUAC
rnacentral:rRNA from 1 species